rnacentral:misc_RNA from 1 species
AGGACCUCCAUAUCCCAUGGGAACACCAAACCUCUGAGAAGAUCCAACAACAAUAUCUGCCCCCAAUUCACCAGGAGGCUUCAACAUUGUUAGUGCCAAUAAAUCCGUUGACAUAACAACACCUUAACCCCAUUAGCAUGAGCGUUCUUAAUAAACUUCUCAUAAUCCAAAAUUUCACCCUCAGUCCCGGGAUACUGAACCAAAACCCCACAAACAUC